rnacentral:rRNA from 1 species
CAUGCAAGUCGAACGAUGAACCUCCUUCGGGAGGGGAUUAGUGGCGAACGGGUGAGUAACACGUGGGCAAUCUGCCCUGCACUCUGGGACAAGCCCUGGAAACGGGGUCUAAUACCGGAUAUGAGCCUGGGAGGCAUCUCCCGGGUUGUAAAGCUCCGGCGGUGCAGGAUGAGCCCGCGGCCUAUCAGCUUGUUGGUGAGGUAACGGCUCACCAAGGCGACGACGGGUAGCCGGCCUGAGAGGGCGACCGGCCACACUGGGACUGAGACACGGCCCAGACUCCUACGGGAGGCAGCAGUGGGGAAUAUUGCACAAUGGGCGCAAGCCUGAUGCAGCGACGCCGCGUGAGGGAUGACGGCCUUCGGGUUGUAAACCUCUUUCAGCAGGGAAGAAGCGAAAGUGACGGUACCUGCAGAAGAAGCGCCGGCUAACUACGUGCCAGCAGCCGCGGUAAUACGUAGGGCGCAAGCGUUGUCCGGGAAUUAUUGGGCGUAAAGAGCUCGUAGGCGGCUUGUCACGUCGGAUGUGAAAGCCCGGGGCUUAACCCCGGGUCUGCAUUCGAUACGGGCAGGCUAGAGUUCGGUAGGGGAGAUCGGAAUUCCUGGUGUAGCGGUGAAAUGCGCAGAUAUCAGGAGGAACACCGGUGGCGAAGGCGGAUCUCUGGGCCGAUACUGACGCUGAGGAGCGAAAGCGUGGGGAGCGAACAGGAUUAGAUACCCUGGUAGUCCACGCCGUAAACGGUGGGCACUAGGUGUGGGCAACAUUCCACGUUGUCCGUGCCGCAGCUAACGCAUUAAGUGCCCCGCCUGGGGAGUACGGCCGCAAGGCUAAAACUCAAAGGAAUUGACGGGGGCCCGCACAAGCGGCGGAGCAUGUGGCUUAAUUCGACGCAACGCGAAGAACCUUACCAAGGCUUGACAUACACCGGAAACGUCCAGAGAUGGGCGCCCCCUUGUGGUCGGUGUACAGGUGGUGCAUGGGCUGUCGUCAGCUCGUGUCGUGAGAUGUUGGGUUAAGUCCCGCAACGAGCGCAACCCUUGUCCCGUGUUGCCAGCAGGCCCUUGUGGUGCUGGGGACUCACGGGAGACCGCCGGGGUCAACUCGGAGGAAGGUGGGGACGACGUCAAGUCAUCAUGCCCCUUAUGUCUUGGGCUGCACACGUGCUACAAUGGCCGGUACAAAGAGCUGCGAUACCGCGAGGUGGAGCGAAUCUCAAAAAGCCGGUCUCAGUUCGGAUUGGGGUCUGCAACUCGACCCCAUGAAGUCGGAGUCGCUAGUAAUCGCAGAUCAGCAUUGCUGCGGUGAAUACGUUCCCGGGCCUUGUACACACCGCCCGUCACGUCACGAAAGUCGGUAACACCCGAAGCCGGUGGCCCAACCCCUUGUGGGAGGGAGCUUC